AAUAGAUCCCCUGGUAGUCCACGCCGUAAACGAUGAGUGCUAAGUGUUAGAGGGUUUCUGCCCUUUAGUGCUGCAGCUAACGCAUUAAGCACUCCGCCUGGGGAGUACGGCCGCAAGGCUGAAACUCAAAGGAAUUGACGGGGGCCCGCACAAGCGGUGGAGCAUGUGGUUUAAUUCGAAGCAACGCGAAGAACCUUACCAGGUCUUGACAUCCUCUGACACUCCUAGAGAUAGGAUUUUCCCCUUCGGGGACAGAGUGACAGGUGGUGCAUGGUUGUCGUCAGCUCGUGUCGUGAGAUGUUGGGUUAAGUCCCGCAACGAGCGCAACCCUUGAUCUUAGUUGCCAGCAUUCAGUUGGGCACUCUAAGGUGACUGCCGGUGACAAACCGGAAGAAGGUGGGGAUGACGUCAAAUCAUCAUGCCCCUUAUGACCUGGGCUACACACGUGCUACAAUGGAUGGUACAAAGGGCAGCGAAGGGGCGACCUGGAGCGAAUCCCCAAAAGCCGUCUCAGUUCGGAUUGCA
rnacentral:rRNA from 1 species